rnacentral:rRNA from 1 species
GAUGAACGCUAGCGGUAGGCUUAACACAUGCAAGUCGAGGGGCAACGAGGUUAUCAAUACCUGUCGGCGACCGGCGCACGGGUGAGUAACGCGUAUGUAACCUGCCCUCAACAUGGGGAUAACCCGGCGAAAGUCGGACUAAUACCGCAUAAAACCUGGGUCCCGCAUGUGAGUAUUUGAUAAAGUUUUAUCCGUUGGAGAUGGUCUCGCGGACCAUUCGCUUGUUGGUGGGGUAGUGGCUCCACAAGGCUUUGACGGGUAGGCGGCCUGAGAGGGUGACCGGCCACAUUGGGACUGAGAUACGGCCCAGACUCCUACGGGAGGCAGCAGUGGGGAAUAUUGCACAAUGGGCGGAAGCCUGAUGCAGCAACGCCGCGUGCGGGAUGACGGCCUUCGUGUUGUAAACCGCUUUCGCCUGUGACGAAGCGUGAGUGACGGUAAUGGGUAAAGAAGCACCGGCUAACUACGUG